GAUGAACGCUGGCGGCGUGCCUAAUACAUGCAAGUCGAGCGAACAGACGAGGAGCUUGCUCCUCUGACGUUAGCGGCGGACGGGUGAGUAACACGUGGAUAAAAUACCUAUAAGACUGGGAUAACUUCGGGAAAACGGAGCUAAUACCGGAUAAUAUAUUGAACCGCAUGGUUCAAUAGUGAAAGACGGUUUUGCUGUCACUUAUAGAUGGAUCCGCGCCGCAUUAGCUAGUUGGUAAGGUAACGGCUUACCAAGGCAACGAUGCGUAGCCGACCUGAGAGGGUGAUCGGCCACACUGGAACUGAGACACGGUCCAGACUCCUACGGGAGGCAGCAGUAGGGAAUCUUCCGCAAUGGGCGAAAGCCUGACGGAGCAACGCCGCGUGAGUGAUGAAGGUCUUCGGAUCGUAAAACUCUGUUAUUAGGGAAGAACAAAUGUGUAAGUAACUAUGCACGUCUUGACGGUACCUAAUCAGAAAGCCACGGCUAACUACGUG
rnacentral:rRNA from 1 species